rnacentral:tRNA from 1 species
ACCUAACUGGCUCAGUCAGUAGAGCAUGCGACUCUUGACCUCAGGGUUGUGAGUUUGAGCCCCACGUUGGUUG